rnacentral:misc_RNA from 1 species
GCAAACUUGGUCAUUUAGAGGAAGUAAAAGUCGUAACAAGGUCUCCGUUGGUGAACCAGCGGAGGGAUCAUUACAGGACUCACAAUCCCGUAAAACCACUGUGAACCGUCCCCUACCGUUGCCUCGGCGGGCGCUGGCGCACUGCGCUGCACGCCCGCCGGCGGCCCCUUACACUUGCAUCUUUUAGUUGGCAUCUCUGAGAAAACACAAAGCAAAUCAAAACUUUCAACAACGGAUCUCUUGGCUCUGGCAUCGAUGAAGAACGCAGC